rnacentral:tRNA from 1 species
GAGGGUAUAGCUCAAAUGGUAGAGCGCAUGCUUAGCAUGCAUGAAGUCCUGGGUUCAAUCUCCAGUACCUCCU